AUUGAACGCUGGCGGCAGGCCUAACACAUGCAAGUCGAGCGGAGCGGCGGAGGGGUAAGUAAUACCUAGGGAUCUGCCUGGUCGUGGGGGAUAACGUCCGGAAACGGGCGCUAAUACCGAAUACUAUCAGAUGAGCCUAGGUCGGAUUAGCUAAGUGGUGGGGUAAGGGCCUACCAAGGCUAAGAUCCGUAACUGGUCUGGGAGGAUGAUCAGUCACACUGGAACUGAGAAACGGUCCAGAUCCCUACGGGAGGCAGCAGGGGGGAAUAUUGGACAAUGGGCGAAAGCCUGAUCCAGCCAUGCCGCGUGUGUGAAGAAGGUCUUCGGAUUGUAAAGCACUUUAAGUUGGGAGGCGUUACCAACAGAAUAAGCACCGGCUAACUUCGUGCCAGCAGCCGCGGUAAUC
rnacentral:rRNA from 1 species